rnacentral:rRNA from 1 species
CUGCAUGGCUGUCGUCAGCUCGUGUCGUGAGAUGUUGGGUUAAGUCCCGCAACGAGCGCAACCCUUGUCAUUAGUUGCUACGAAAGGGCACUCUAAUGAGACUGCCGGUGACAAACCGGAGGAAGGUGGGGAUGACGUCAAGUCCUCAUGGCCCUUAUGGGUAGGGCUUCACACGUCAUACAAUGGUCGGGACAGAGGGUCGCCAACCCGCGAGGGGGAGCCAAUCCCAGAAACCCGAUCGUAGUCCGGAUCGCAGUCUGCAACUCGACUGCGUGAAGUCGGAAUCGCUAGUAAUCGCGGAUCAGCAUGUCGCGGUGAAUACGUUCCCGGGUCUUGUACACACCGCCCGUCACACCAUGGGAGUGGGUUUUACCAGAAGUAGUUAGCCUAACCGCAAGG